rnacentral:rRNA from 1 species
CCCUUAGAUGUCCUGGGCCGCACGCGCGCUACACUGAUGCAUUCAACGAGUAUUGUUCCUUGGCCGAGAGGCCUGGGUAAUCUUGUUAACGUGCAUCGUGAUAGGGAUAGAUUAUUGCAAUUUUUAAUCUUGAACGAGGAAUUCCUAGUAAACGCAGAUCAUCAAUCUGCAUUGAUUACGUCCCUGCCCUUUGUACACACCGCCCGUCGCACCUACCGAUUGAAUGGUCCGGUGAAGCCUCGGGAUUGUGACUAGUACACUUUAUUGUGCGCUGGUCGCGAGAACUUGUCUAAACCUUAUCAUUUAGAGGAAGGUGAAGUCGUAACA